GUUCAGAUGCAGAAUCAAACCUCGACCUCGAGAAACGCCCUCGUCUGGACCCAGAAUCGAGCCUAGACCUGGAGAAGGGGCCUCGCUCUGACCCGGAAGCAAGCCUAGACCUCGAAAAGCGCCCUCCUCCGGACAGAGAACCAAGCCUAGACCUGGAGAAGCAGCCUCGUUCAGACCCAGAAGCGAGAGUCUAGACCUGGAGAAGCGGCCUGGUUCUGACCCAGAAGCGAGCCUAGACUUGGAGAAGUGAGCGCUCAAUCUCGACAAUUCUGGAAUGAGCCUGAGGACAAUCAAAGUGAGU
rnacentral:lncRNA from 1 species